GCCGCCCCACGCCGCCGCGCCAGAGGCCGCUCCCCAGCUCAGCUGCCCCGCGCCUCACGGCCUGCCCGGGGCUCGCCCCAGCACCGGCCCCGCCGACCCUAACGCCGCCUCCCUGCCAAACCCACUCGUUCGCUCUCCAUUUGCACAAGGGGGGGUGAAAAGAAGAGGAGAGGUGGAGACUCGGAGCAGGGGGGUUGAACACAACACUACAGAUGCCCCUAGGGAUAGAUGGGCUGCAGGACAGGUGUGCAGAUGGGAGUUAGGGUGUGUGCAGUGCAAGCAAGGGCAAUGCCUUCUCAAGCAUCAGCUGCUGCUGCUGGCCCAGAGCUCACAGGCACAGAUGGCUAAGCCAUCUCUGCACUUGUUGCUCCCAUGUCCGAAGAGAGGGAAGGAAUGCAUCAGGGAUGGGGUUGAGGCAAGUGGCUGCUCUCUCUGGAAGAAACCUGCUCCACAGUAGACUCUACUCAGUGUCUCUCACUCCAGACAGAAUGGGAAAAGCAAUCAUCUGGACAGAGCCUGGCUGGUGCACAGGCCACUGCUCCCAGUGCCAUGCUGGCCACAGCCCUGCUCUGUGGGCACUGCAGGCUGCCCUUGCCACAGGCUGACCAGGAGCCCAGUUCAGUUAGGCGACCCCAGGGAGUGGCGUUCCAAGCAGCCAAGGGAAGUUGCGUUCGGAGGCUCCAGAAGCUGGACAGCAGACACGAAGUUUCCCACCAGCGAUCUCCAAGGCACAGCCUGACGUGGCAGGGAUGCUCGCGGGUGCCCCGCAGGAGCCUAUCCCGGGCAGGCUGUGCCCCACGCGAGUUGUUACGUCGGCAGCUUGACACUUUGCCCGUUGGCAACGAGCGCUCCUGGGCGUCCGUCUGUUGGCAGCCGAGCAGCAGGAGCAUCUCUGCAACUGCGCCGCUGGAGCACUGCGACUUUGUUGUGUGUACGCGUCUAAGCCACCCAAACUCGCGUUUCCUACCAUCUUCUUGAGCUGUGCUCAGCACCCAUGGAGAAGCUUCCUUUGAAAAGAGGCCAGAGGUAAUAGGAGUGUAUGAGGAGUUAGGGAGCUUGUCAGUAACUGGAGCUUUCCCCCGUGCCUGCACUUCGGCACUUCGUUGGUGGAACAAACGUCAGACAUUUGGGAGCAUUAAGGAGAUAAAGCAUCCUAAGACGCUCUGGUGAGAUAAGUACCUCUCUGGGAGCAGUCUGUUGACUGGGAGAGAUGAAGGUGCUAAUGAGAGGUGCUCAGCGGUGGCAGUUGAGAGACGGUUGCAUCUGAGAUGCUCUUGGGGACACUUGGAUGGGGAGGCCUUUGUGCUAUGAAAAGGAACUCCCGAUGCUGGGGCCCUUGAACGCCCGUUAGAAGCCUGCCCUGGUAGCCCAACACUGUUUCGUGUGUUCUCUCCUCAGCAUUCAGCCACCUCUGGAAGAUGAGGAGCAGGUUCCAUCAAAAAAGCAAAGAACAGACAAUGUCAUCUCUGUGCAUAAAGUUCCUGCAGGUCCUGCAGUGGAGCAAUUGCCACCAAAGAGGGCCAGGAAGCGCAAUGCCACUCCAACUGCAGAAGAGGGUCAAGCCACUACUUCCAAGCCUUCACCUAAAAGACCAAGAGUUUCUGCACCAGAAACAGAAAUGCCACAGAUUGGUAA